rnacentral:rRNA from 2 species
GACGAACGCUGGCGGCGUGCCUAAUACAUGCAAGUCGAACGCUUCUUUUUCCACCGGAGCUUGCUCCACCGGAAAAAGAGGAGUGGCGAACGGGUGAGUAACACGUGGGUAACCUGCCCAUCAGAAGGGGAUAACACUUGGAAACAGGUGCUAAUACCGUAUAACAAUCAAAACCGCAUGGUUUUGAUUUGAAAGGCGCUUUCGGGUGUCGCUGAUGGAUGGACCCGCGGUGCAUUAGCUAGUUGGUGAGGUAACGGCUCACCAAGGCCACGAUGCAUAGCCGACCUGAGAGGGUGAUCGGCCACAUUGGGACUGAGACACGGCCCAAACUCCUACGGGAGGCAGCAGUAGGGAAUCUUCGGCAAUGGACGAAAGUCUGACCGAGCAACGCCGCGUGAGUGAAGAAGGUUUUCGGAUCGUAAAACUCUGUUGUUAGAGAAGAACAAGGAUGAGAGUAACUGUUCAUCCCUUGACGGUAUCUAACCAGAAAGCCACGGCUAACUACGUGCCAGCAGCCGCGGUAAUACGUAGGUGGCAAGCGUUGUCCGGAUUUAUUGGGCGUAAAGCGAGCGCAGGCGGUUUCUUAAGUCUGAUGUGAAAGCCCCCGGCUCAACCGGGGAGGGUCAUUGGAAACUGGGAGACUUGAGUGCAGAAGAGGAGAGUGGAAUUCCAUGUGUAGCGGUGAAAUGCGUAGAUAUAUGGAGGAACACCAGUGGCGAAGGCGGCUCUCUGGUCUGUAACUGACGCUGAGGCUCGAA